CAUUGAUUGGUGGCCAUGUGUUUGUGCCCGAUAGACUGUGAAAUGGUGUGUUGCUACACGGCUGUGUUGCACCUGCGCCCCACCGAGGUUUGAAGACCUGAAGGAGCAAGCAGUGUCAUUUCCGAAAUAAUUUUGGUAAUGCCGCCUUCCCUGAGCAGCCUAUGCUUGGUAGUUCCCUCCUGGGUAGCACUUCAUCAGAGACAGCAGAGACAAAAAAGAAAAGGAGUUCCAAUUUUUCUAUUUUCCUUUUACUUGUUAUCAUCACUCAAUGGCCAAAUAUUUCGUAAGAUUGGACUUUGAUGCUUAUGUCUAAAUAUUUCAGUA